GGCGUAAGGGUUUGUAGGCAGCUUUAACAUAAUUAAAGAUUGAAUCAAAUAGAGGUCAAGAGAAUUCCUAGAUUAGGGUUGAUAUCUGUAUAGACUAGGAAGAAUUCUAAUUAGCGAAGGCACUUUUCUAUCUAAUGAUUGACGCUGAGAAACGAAGGGGAGGACCGACAAUAGGAUUAGAGACCCUGGCAUCCCUCUCUGUCAACUAUGAAUGGUAGUUGCUAGUAAUAAUAAUUAGUAACGAGGCUAACGCGUUAACCAUUCCGCCUUGUGAGUACGACUGCAAAGUUGAAAACAAAAAAAUUAGUCGGUUUCGGAGCAAACGAAGUGAAGCAUGUUAUUUAAUUCGAUAAUCCCGC
rnacentral:rRNA from 1 species